ACGGGUGAGUAACACGUGAGCAAUCUGCCCCUGACUCUGGGAUAACAGUUGGAAACAGCUGCUAAUACCGGAUACGAGCUGAGAAGGCACCUUCGUCAGCUGGAAAGAAUUUCGGUCAGGGAUGAGCUCGCGGCCUAUCAGCUUGUUGGUGAGGUAAUGGCUCACCAAGGCGUCGACGGGUAGCCGGCCUGGGAGGGUGACCGGCCACACUGGGACUGAGACACGGCCCAGACUCCUACGGGAGGCAGCAGUGGGGAAUAUUGCACAAUGGGCGCAAGCCUGAUGCAGCAACGCCGCGUGAGGGACGACGGCCUUCGGGUUGUAAACCUCUUUUAGCAAGGAAGAAGCGAAAGUGACGGUACUUGCAGAAAAAGCGCCGGCUAACUACGUGCCAGCAGCCGCGGUAAUACGUAGGGCGCAAGCGUUAUCCGGAAUUAUUGGGCGUAAAGAGCUCGUAGGCGGUUUGUCGCGUCUGCUGUGAAAUCCCGAGGCUCAACCUCGGGCCUGCAGUGGGUACGGGCAGACUAGAGUGCGGUAGGGGAGAUUGGAAUUCCUGGUGUAGCGGUGGAAUGCGCAGA
rnacentral:rRNA from 1 species